GUCGACUCGAAGCCCCUUCCGCAAGAUUCUUAGAGAGAGAGAGAGAGAGAGAGAGAGAGUGACGACGCCCCGAGUGGCGAAAGCGUGUGCGUCUCUCUUUCUCUUGUUUGUUUGUUUGUUCUUUGAUUCGUGGAAUCUGAUUGUUCUUAUGCGGCGGUGGAUGCGUGGAGUUGGUUGAAAGCAGAGACGAGAAUCGAUUUGGGGGUUCUAGGAGACCGGUUGAAUUAGGAGAUUAGGGCACGGUGAUCUGGGUGAACUGCAGUGUUGACCUUGGUGAGUCCGGUUGGGUUAACCUGGCGAAGGAAUUGAUGGAUGGUGUACUGCAGUGUCUUCUAUUUUGUCUGUCGAUGUAUAUAAUAUUCUAGAAAAUAAUUAUGCUCUUCGUUCCUGCUAACAUGGUGCACCAGAUAACGUCUACAGAGAGAAUAUUUCCAUUAGGUUACGGAAGUGCGGCAUUGGAAGUCUACGUUUUGUUUCACAAGUCUUGGUAUCUCUGUUUUUUGGAGUACCAAAAUAAGACUUCUCUUCGCUAGGUGCGAAAAGGAAACGGGAUGAAGUGGUGAGGACCUAUAGAUUUAUUGGAGCAUGGUGGAAUAUUGUGAAAUGUUUAGCUGAACUAGAUAUGAUGGAUCGCACCUUUGCUUUUCUUUAGAUAUUUUGUUGACUGCUUUUAGGAUCUUUGGUCUGUUCAAAAUUAUUAUUUUUUUGGUUUGUACUGUAUAUUGUUUUGUACUUUACAUAACCUACAAUUAAAUUUCUCCGUAUGGUGAUUGUGAUAUCCCACUUUUGUCUCACUUUGGAUGUAUGAGGACUGAGGAUAUUUGACUUGGUUUAUAAGUGUAUGAUGCGUUUAAUAUGAUUUACUUGAGCUUAAGCAUUCUUCUGAGUAAGUGACUUAAAUGUAUGAUAUUGUAGUUAUCCUUUUGGGUCAGAUCAUGGCAAAUGAUAUCAGAGUGGACUCGAUAUUUGAUAUGGUGAGAGAGUCAACUGGUUCUCACAUGUAUUAUACUAAAGUUUAUUUUUGGUUGUGUUGCGUUUGGGUCUUAACGAGGACAUUAAGUCUUAAGUAAGGGAGAUUGUAAGAUACACCAAUUCAGUCACACAUCAGAUGUGUGAGGAGAGUUGAUUUGAUUUAUUAAAUUAGAUGGGUUUAAUGCAAAUAAUUUGGGCUUAAGCAUUUCGAGCUAGGGGUUUGAACUCAUUAAGUUAAUAGGAUAAUUAUUCUAUGGAGGUCGGAUCAUAACAAUUAGUGUUAGAGAGAAUCAAUGAUUAGGCUGAUGAUUUUAAUUUGUCUUGCAAUGUGUCGAUGCUUUGUUUCCAAACUUGAUAUUUCUUUUAACAGCUUGAGACAGUAGAUCAAAGAGAGUAAGUUGAAAUUUUAGGAGAGGAUGUGGGAAACCAUUUAACAAGACUAGCAACAGAAAUGAGAUACUAUAAUUUCACUUGAAUGUGAAAAUAAUAGUCCCAGAAGAUGGAAGGCAAGGAUUUAUAUCCUGAAUGAAGGUAUCAGCUACAAUAUUUUAUAUAUAUAUAUGCAUGUUCUCCUUAAUACUGGUUUUGGUUAGGAUCGUUGAUGAAUAAUGAGGCUUUAAGCGGCUAUGAAUUAUGUUUUGUUAAGGAUAAGUUCUUGGAUAUUUGAUUUUCCAUGUUGUUUUAUGUAGUUGGGAUGGUUUAGGCAACCGGGAUGGUUUAUUUACCCUUGGGGUAGUGAAGCCAAUUCAUGGAUCAUCACUUGGAAAUUAUAAUCUUCUGUUGAUGGCUUAAAACCUCAUGUCAUCUACAGGUCUUUGUUUAAUGGGAAUCUGACUUCAUAGGCUUAGUGGGUGGUCUGGUUUUUGUGUCUUUUCUAGAGGUAAAAGAGGAGCAGAGCGAGUGGUGUCGGAUAUGUGUAAUUCAAGGAGAGGCAACCAUAGUUUUUCUAAGCUAAGAUGGAAACUUUUGGAGGUUGUAGCCUGUUGGACAUGUGUUGACACUGGGUAUUUGCAUAGGUAUGCCUUUAGAAUCAUAAAAUUGCAACUUUUCCUGCAAAUUUUAAAAUACACAUAAAUCUCUGAAAGAGUUUAUAUGAGAGAAACUAAAAGUUUAAACCUUGAAGGAAGAAUAUGAAAAAUGUCCAAGCAGAAAAAUCAACAGUAGUCUUCUAAAAAGGAUAAAUGAAAGGAAAAAUGGUGGUAAGGUGGGAUUUUUUUUUUAAAUGUGAAACUUUUGCAUUUGCAUGCCAUAUCACGUAAGCUAGUUACUUGCUUAAGAAUCCCUCAGGGACAUUGGUAAAUUAUAUAUUACUUUAGCUUUCUUGAGGUGUAGGAUUACUAAAAAGAAAAAAUCAUGAAGGUCCGCCCGGUACCGCUUGGAAUCUGUGGUUCACCUGAAUGUAGAACUGCUUGUAUAUUCUUAAUCAUCUGUUUAUCUGAAUAAAGGCUGGAAAUCCUAUAUUGAUGUUUAUGACACCAUAGAAUAUUAGGUGUUGAGAUGAUCGGAUUUAAAAAGCAUGGUCACCUGAGCUUAAUAGAAGAACUUAAAUCUCCACAAGAAACACAAUUAAGUUGACUCUUUGGUUUAUGUUGAAAUGGUUCAGUAAUAUUUCUUGCAGGCAUAUAUUUUCAAACUGUUAAACAUAAAUAGAAUUUUAAGUCAGUAUUUUCUGUUGACCCAAAUAUAUGUGCUUUAUUCUUGCAUAACAUUGGAACUGGCAUAUUCUAGUGGCAGAUUCAGACCAUCUUUCUAUAAUAAUAAUUGUCAAGACAUAUUUUUCCAUUUGGUGACUGAUCCACUAGUCGGUACAGACAAGUCUUCUAAUUCGACAGUUUUUGUUUUUCUUGCCAGCAAAACAUUUAGCUGAUGCAAAAAAAGUCUUCUGUGGAGCUUUGAUAAUUUAUUCAGGCAUAUGGGUUGGCGGAUUAGGUUCAUCCUACACGAGAACAUGGUAAGUUGCCUAGAAACUAGUCGGUCUGCUUGCAGAGUGCAUCUGUAUCAGGGUGUGCUAGUUUUUCUCAUUUCCAAGAUGACAACACUCUGAUUUUGAUUGAAACAGUCAUUCCAUUUUGAUGCCUUUGGGUAUCUACGCAGUGCCCCUCUCCCUUGUAAUUUUAAAUAUAUUGUCGAAUGAAAUUUGGGUUGUGACUGCUUCCAUUAGCGGA